UUUGCAAGCCCUUUCCUCCCUCAACCCCUCCAUGCAAUGCGCUUAUCACUUAUGGCUUCAUGUUUGGUCCAGUAAAACGAAAACACUGCCUAAUAUUUUCUUCUUUUUUUCUCUCUCUGAAAUGGUAAGGAAAUCUUAUACAUAAAUUAAACCAGCAAGAAGAUUGUUCUAUAGCCACUGUACAAUAUCAGCAAAUUAGCAAAAACACAAAACAAAGUACCACCACUGAUCCUGUAAAGACUCUAGCACCUGUAAAACUAUUUCAGCUUCAUUUAUGUAUUCCAUUCUACAGAAACAGCAUACCAAAAAUAUACCAACUGACCUUUAUCUGCUGAAUGGAGUUAAUGGUCUUCAAAACAUAUUUUGUUUCUCUCGGUCCAAAUAGUCCAUGAUAUGCAUGCUGGUCUUGUAGUCCACCAUAAUAGUUUUUUCUUCCUGACUCACUUUCUGUACGGCACCUCAGCAGAUCUCCUGUUGACCUGGGCAUAACCGACUGCAAAGCAAUCAUAUUUUUGAGGAGUUGCCACAGUUGGGUGGUAACUUGGCAGUGUAAAAAUAAGUGAUAUCACUGUUUCUCUUCCAUGGAGAACAUUUGCUAGUUAAAAUAAUACUUCUCUGUGGAGAUUCUCAUGUGUAAGAUGAGCUUCAUGAAACGCUACCCAUGUGAAGCAAGCAACCUUGAGUGGAGCUCUGGACCUCCAAAUUUGUUUCCAUGGCCAAGGCUUUUCAGGACUAUCCACCUUUAUUAGAUCUUUGUAGCACGAACUUACUGAAACAACUCCAUUGCUCCUUGGCUUUCCAUAGAAGGCUAUCAUCAGUGUUGGAUAGCUGCUGAUUUGUAUUCGAAAGGUUACAAAUUUAACACUUGCCAAACAUUGAAAUUAUAACUACUAUAUGUAAUUUGAACCAGCCAAAAUGAGAUCUUCUCUCCAUUGCCAACUUUGAAAUCCAAUUUUAAAUAUGAAAUUACGCCACAUAAAACUAAUACUUUACCAAACAGAAACUCUGUGAGGUGUUGUUAACAUAUUUGGCACUCCAUCCUUGCUUUUGCUCUUCUGAUAACAAACCCCCCACCCCCCCACCCCCACCCCUCAAACAUAAUUCUGCUAGACCUCCAGAGCCACUUCAUUAGUAACCUUUUGUGUGUAAUUGUAGGUUUUUAAAAACCCCAAUACCGUCUUUCUUGUUGUUAAUAACAGUACUGCAAAAGCGCCUCCUAUCUCUAUUUCCUUGCCAUAUAAAGUUCCUUAAUGGAAAUGCUCCCAGAUGCUUCUGCCAAGAACCUUAUCUCUUCUCUUCGUAUGGCAGAUCACCUUUUCUGAUUAUUUUUUUCUCAGCUCUAUACAUGGGGGAGAUAGGAUUUGUUACCAUGCUGUAUAUAAAUCUUAUGACAUCUUUAAGUCAAACGCAAGGCCAGCAACCUGGUUUGAAUGGACUGGAGCUGAGCGCAGCAGGAAUUUAUUAGGAAAGCAACUAUUAUGUCUUAAAGUACUGAGAUGGAUAGUUCAUGUAUUUAAUGCAGCAUCGAAGGAGAAAUGAAUGUCAUUCAGGAGAUGGAAAACAAGUGACGAUUUUGCUGAUUUUUUUUUGGUAGUCUUAAACACAGUAAAAAUGUUAGGUAUAUCAGUUUUAAUGCAGUACAAAGAAAGAGGGGGUGGGGGGGAUGAGUGAAACUCUUGAGAUUACAUUAAAUGCUGGAUGGACAGAACAGAAAAUUUAAGUUCAUUUUGGUCCCAGAAAGGGGUGAGAAAGCAGCAGCUAUCAGGCAGCAUCAUACCAAAUCUUAUUUUGCUGAAGCCAUCAGAAGCAAGAAUUGGACAACAGAAGCUACAAAAGGGUAAACAUACCAGACCACCAACACCAGAAUCGUCAUCCCUGUUAGCUCUGUAGUAUCAGAAGACAACGUGCUCGGCAGAUGCAUUGUGGGGAAAUUAUUGUCCACAAGCCAAGAAACUCCAACUCUGAAUGACAUCCGGAGCUGGGUGUGCAGAAUGUGGAAUGUCUCUCAUUUAAUCAAUGUAUACCUAAUGAAUGAUUCACAAUUUCUUUUUGAGGUUCCAUCCAGAAAGGUGGCAGAGCAUGUUUUCGAAGGAGAAUGGAGAUGGAAGAAGUCCAGUUGACUUCUCGGCUUUUUAGCUACAAUCUAGUGAUAUUUUUCAUCUAAGACUUGAGGUGCUUGUUUGUGGGGUUAGUAUUGUGAUGAGUCUGGUAUAAAAUGCCACAAACUUUAGGUGCUACCUUUGUCUUACCCUAAAUACAUGCCAGAGCUCACAAUUUUUAACAAAGAAAGCUCUCUGUAAAUAUCACAACAUCUUCUGGCUGCUGGUUUUUAGUAUUUCGACAUGAAUUUCACUAGGAGAAAAAGUUGAAGUGG